UACAGUGUUUCAAUUUUAAUCUAAUUCCCUAAAUUAUACCUUUUCAUCUCAAAUACUAAUUUUAUUUUCUUAAAUUAAAAUAAAAAUUAAUUAUUGUAAAUAUCUGAAUAUCUCUUUAUAGUGUUUUUGUUUCAUAUUAUAAUUUUAAGUCUUUUUAUGGUAAGUCUAAAAUAGGGCGCACUUAUAAAUCUUGCACGGAGGGGCACCUAAGUCAAUGUACCCAACUGGGUUUGAUAUAGAUGGGGUUUUUGAUACUUGACAUUCUGUGAGCUUAUGCUUGAGUGCUUGUCUAAUUUAUCCUAUAUAUGACACCUCACAUCAUUCAUAAAUGUAUUUUAUGUGGGUUGACUUGAAUUUUUGGGAGCAUUACUACAUCAACAAAAACUCUAUAAAUGAUCUUGUUGCUAUACUAUAACUGUCAAAUGUUUGGAAAUCAUUAAUUCUUUAAAAUUGUAAUUUUCUGUUAAUUUAAUGUUUUAUUUUUCUUUUAGUAUGCCGUUAACCUCUGUCGGAUUUAAAUCAUCUCUUUAUCACCAUCCCUGUCAUUUAUCCAACUGAUGAAAGUGCACAUUUGUAACACAGAAAUUCAUAUAGGUUAACCCAAAGAUCGCCCAAUGGCUCACAAGGAAGAACAGAAGUGGAAUGAUUUGGAAAGUAUACCAGGACAAUAAACGUGAAAAUGGACCCCAUUUUAAAGAAAACAGAAUUUAUUAACUGCAUAGUCUUAAGGAGAAAUGUAACUUAUUUGGUACGGAUUAAUAGAGUUACAUAAUUAAAUGUGAUUUAAUUUUCUU